UAAAUGUGUAGUCUCCCUCCAUAAUACUGGAGCCAACACACUGCAUCAUUUUUGAAGAAGCUUGAAAGGAAAUGACAUAGGAAUUUCUAAGGAUUCCUAUUUGGAGGAAGAAUAUCCCCAGAUUUAUAAAUGUCUAGCCCUGAAAAUGCUUAGCAACUGCAUGUAAUCUGCAUUUUUAUCCUGCAAAGAGUUGUGACCCUUUUCAGAACACAUCAGCAGAAUUAAAAGGGCCGAGGGGGAGUUUUCACUUGCUUUCUGAUGGCAAGGCUGAUUCAUUCAUUUGAAUCCCAUUCUGAGAAACUUGUGUUCUUUCAAGAUUGGAGACAACUCCAUAAAUAAUCGAAUCAAUUGUUUUAUUUUACAAUGGACAGUUAAAUGGUAAAAUAUAACCCAUAAUUGCUGUUUACUGUGGUUAAAAUAAAAAAUCAGUAUGAAAAAUAAACA
rnacentral:lncRNA from 1 species